CAAAGAUAGAAAUAGGAAUGAUUUGCGAACUGCUUCGAGCCUCGUAGAGGCGUUUUGACAGGCAGCUGGGGACCAGAGAAAAGAUUACCAGGUUGCUGCUGUCAAAUGUGAGUUUGACCACUAACUAUACAUAGAUACGGAUCUACAUGUGCCAGUUCAUACACCGAAUAUGGCGCAAACGAACUUUCUGGGUUAGAUCGCAGGGUCUUCGGCUCUGGAGUGCUUCAUCAUAAGCCAGCCAACCAUGGGAACCUGCUCUCAAGAGAGUUUACAAAUUUUUUAUUUCUUCUAGGAGCAUAUUUCAGGAUAUAUUUCCAUGGAUAAGCGGCCCGAGGCAUUAACCUUUCGUGUCCUGCGCCGCUCUCGUGAUUUUCCCGCCCUCUUACCCGUUUGUAUGUUGCUGGAUCGAUACUGCAUCUACGAUCGCGUGCAUCGCGUACAUUAUUUAUUUGCCAGCACUUUUUACGAUGUACGACGUACGUGCUUCGCUGGUGCAUACAAUACCGACAACGUCUUGCCUCCUGCACCAUGCAUUACCUCAUCGGCUUUGACCUGCUCUCUCUGGACACAAACUGCUAUGCCGCGAUCAUUCCGCUUACCCCGUCUGCUGGUUGCCCCCUUCGGUGGCAAGGAAUGACUCUUGCGUGCCCGCGGACGCCUAAAUGCGCACCACCGUUUAUCAGGAGCGUCUUCCGGUUCAUAUGAGCGAGUGUGCGAUCGAUGAUGACUGUCGACUCCUGACCGCGGCCUGCUCCUGUGCACGGGACCACUUCAGCUUCGAGAUUGAGGACUUAUGUAGCCUAAGACAGACAGAAUCAUCUCCCAGCAGAACAGAAGCGCCUAAGAAGUCAUCCUGGCCAUAGACAGCAAGGACUUUGACUACGAGAGCCAAGGGAGGAGCUACGCGGGCUACUAGACUCUAGAUAUAUCUCCUUGCUGUUAGAUUUAAGGAUAUACGCAUUCAUUUAUAUAGUAUAUACAAAAAUGUUUCCCGCUUGCUAAUUUGUUUAUACUAAGCUAAGUUUUAAUGAAUAAAACUAUCCUAACUAAUCA